AACGAACGCUGGCGGCAUGCCUAACACAUGCAAGUCGAACGAGACCUCCGGGUCUGGUGGCGCACGGCUGCGUAACGCGUGGGAAUCUGCCCUUCGGUUGGGCAUAACUGAGAGAAAUUUCUGCUAAUACCUUAUAAUGUCUUCGGACCAAAGAUUUAUCGCCGAGGGAUGAGCCCGCGUAGGAUUAGGUAGUUGGUGGGGUAAUGGCCUACCAAGCCGACGAUCCUUAGCUGGUCUGAGAGGAUGAUCAGCCACACUGGGACUGAGACACGGCCCAGACUCCUACGGGAGGCAGCAGUGGGGAAUAUUGGACAAUGGGCGAAAGCCUGAUCCAGCAAUGCCGCGUGAGUGAUGAAGGCCUUAGGGUUGUAAAGCUCUUUUACCCGGGAUGAUAAUGACGGUACCGGGAGAAUAAGCCCCGGCUAACUCCGUG
rnacentral:rRNA from 1 species